rnacentral:rRNA from 1 species
UGGGGAAUAUUGCACAAUGGGCGGAAGCCUGAUGCAGCGACGCCGCGUGGGGGAAGAAGGCCUUCGGGUUGUAAACUCCUUUCGACAGGGACGAAGCUUUUGUGACGGUACCUGUAUAAGAAGCACCGGCUAACUACGUGCCAGCAGCCGCGGUAAUACGUAGGGUGCGAGCGUUGUCCGGAAUUACUGGGCGUAAAGAGCUCGUAGGUGGUUUGUCGCGUCGUCUGUGAAAUUCCGGGGCUUAACUCCGGGCGUGCAGGCGAUACGGGCUGACUAGAGUGCUGUAGGGGAGACUGGAAUUCCUGGUGUAGCGGUGAAAUGCGCAGAUAUCAGGAGGAACACCGAUGGCGAAGGCAGGUCUCUGGGCAGUAACUGACGCUGAGGAGCGAAAGCAUGGGUAGCGAACAGG